UGACCGCGGCAAGAAGUCGCGCACGAUCC
rnacentral:sRNA from 1 species